ACACAUGCAGUCGAGGGGUAACAGGGUUUUCGGACUGCUGACGACCGGCGCACGGGUGAGUAACGCGUAUACAAUCUGCCUAUUACUAAGAGAUAGCCCAGAGAAAUUUGGAUUAAUAUUUUAUGGUAUUAUCGAUUGGCAUCGAUUGAUAAUUAAAGGUUACGGUAAUAGAUGAGUAUGCGUCCUAUUAGCUAGAUGGUGAGGUAACGGCUUACCAUGGCGACGAUAGGUAGGGGUCCUGAGAGGGAGAUCCCCCACACUGGUACUGAGACACGGACCAGACUCCUACGGGAGGCAGCAGUGAGGAAUAUUGGACAAUGGGAGCAAUCCUGAUCCAGCCAUGCCGCGUGCAGGAAGACUGCCCUAUGGGUUGUAAACUGCUUUUAUACAGGAAGAAAAAGGUGUACGUGUACACUGUUGACGGUACUGUAAGAAUAAGGAUCGGCUAACUCCGUGCCAGCAGCCGCGGUAAUACGGAGGAUCCAAGCGUUAUCCGGAAUCAUUGGGUUUAAAGGGUCCGUAGGCGGGACAAUAAGUCAGUGGUGAAAGUCUGCAGCUCAACUGUAGAAUUGCCAUUGAUACUGUUGUUCUUGAGUGCUUGUGAAGUGGUUAGAAUGAGUAGUGUAGCGGUGAAAUGCAUAGAUAUUACUCAGAAUACCGAUUGCGAAGGCAGAUCACUAACAAUUCACUGACGCUGAUGGACGAAAGCCUAGGUAGCGAACAGGAUUAGAUACCCUGGUAGUCUACGCCGUAAACGAUGGUUACUAGCUGUUCGGACCAAUUGAGGUCUGAGUGGCUAAGCGAAAGUGAUAAGUAACCCACCUGGGGAGUAUGGUCGCAAGGC
rnacentral:rRNA from 1 species